AAAUGUGUUUAGUUUGAUGAUUUUGCGGGAGUUGAAAAGUAUUUUCAAUAGAGAAUAGUUGUGCUUAUGAUUUGUUUUAUUUGUUUUAAGGAUUUGGAAUAAGUAUUAUGCACCCAGUCACUGUGUGAAUGAAGUGUUUGUUGAUUGGAGUAGAGUUAAUUAGAUGGUUUGAUAUUGUUUAGAGCAUACAAUUUCACAAAUUGUGUGCUGGACUUGUUAACUAGGUACUCUAGUUGACUGUGAUAGUGUAAUGUGAAACAGAGUGCAGGAACAGUGAUAUAAUGGUUUGAGACAUUUUAAGAGUGAUACAGUGAUUAUUUAUAUUUAUUUGUUUAUCAACAUAAUAACACAGUGAACUAUUAAUAAAUGUAUAUGUGAACCCAAGCCUAUUUGGAUUUGUAAUCUUUUAUUUAGAUACAAAGUAACCAAAGGUAACAUUAGGCCAGUUGUUUUAUCUUGCUGCAAAAACGAUUCGAUGUCUUCAAUAAAUAAGGAAAAAAAUGUCGGCGAAUUUGUCUGCCCCUGACGUAAGUCCACCGCGAUUUCAACAAAAUCAGAAAAUUCAUUAUUAAAUUUUAUACUAGACUUUACAAUAUUGUACAUGUUUCUAAACAUUGUUAAAAUUUUACCAUUUAAUCCUUUUUUGUACAGUUUAAACCACAACGCGUCACGGUUCACCGAAUCAAAUGCUUUUUUCAGAUCAACGAAAGCACAAUACAGACGUUUUUUGUCGUUCAGGCUUUGCUCUAUUAAAUUCUGCAGUACAAAGAUUGCAUCUACGGUACUAUGAUUUUUUCUAAAACCGAAUUGCGCAUCUGGUAAUUUAUUUUGACUCUCACACCACUUAACGACUCGCGCAUCUAAAAUCCCCGUAAACAAUUUACCGAGAUUACUCAAUAACGUUAUACCACGAUAAUUAUUGACGUUAUUCACAUCACCUUUUUUAUGUAGCGGUAUAAUGAAAC